rfam:Stegodyphus mimosarum contig34963, whole genome shotgun sequence.
GCCUUCGUCGUAUAGUGGUCAGCACGCUCGACGCGUAACCGAGAGGUCCGUGGUUCGAUUCCCGGCGAAGGCU